AUGGCCGGGGCACAGGUGGUGGACUCCGGCGAGAAGCGCCUCAAUGAGCUCGGCUACAAGCAGGAGCUCCGGAGGGAGAUGACGCUGUUCAAGACGCUGGCCAUCUCUUUCUCGACGAUGACGCUCUUCACGGGGAUCACGCCGCUGUACGGCAGCAGCCUCCAGUACGCCGGGCCGGCCAGCCUCGUAUGGGGCUGGGUCGUCGUCUCCUUCUUCACCUGGUUCGUCGGCAUCGCCAUGGCCGAGAUCUGCUCCUCCUUCCCCACAACUGGCUCUCUCUAUUUCUGGGCUGCUCAUCUCGCUGGCCCGGUCUGGGGUCCAUUGGCAUCCUGGUGCUGCGCUUGGCUGGAGGCCAUAGGCCUCAUUGCCGGAAUUGGUACACAGGCCUAUGCAGGAUCCCAGGUGCUGCAGAGCAUAAUCCUGCUCUGCACCGGCACCAACAAAGGCGGUGGCUACCUGGCCCCUCGCUGGCUGUUCCUCGUCAUGUACCUUGGGUUAACCUUCAUCUGGGCCGUGUUCAACACUUUCGCCUUGGAAGUCAUCGCAUUCCUCGACGUCAUCUCCAUGUGGUGGCAGGUGGUCGGCGGCACGGUCAUAGUGAUCAUGCUGCCGCUGGUGGCGAAGACGACGCAGCCGGCGUCGUACGUGUUCACGCACUUCGAGACGACGCCGGAGGUGACCGGGAUCAGCAGCGGCGCCUACGCGGUGGUCCUGUCCCUCCUGGUGAGCCAGUACUCCCUGUACGGGUACGACGCGGCGGCGCACCUGACGGAGGAGACCAAGGGCGCCGACAAGAACGGCCCCAUCGCCAUCCUCUCCAGCAUCGGCAUCAUCACCGUCUUCGGCUGGGUCUACAUCCUCGCCCUCACCUUCAGCAUCCAGGACUUCAGCUACCUGUACGACCCCACCAACGAGACAGCCGGCACCUUCGUCCCGGCGCAGAUACUCUACGACGCGUUCCACGGCCGGUACGGCAGCUCCACGGGCGCCAUCGUGCUGCUCUUCAUCAUCUGGGGCUCCUUCUUCUUCGGCGGCCUCUCCAUCACCACCAGCGCCGCCCGGGUGGUGUACGCGCUGUCGCGCGACCGCGGCGUCCCCUUCUCCAGCGUGUGGCGCAAGAUCCACCCCACGCGCAAGGUGCCCGGGAACGCCGUGUGGCUGUGCGCCGCCGUGUGCGCGCUGCUGGGCCUGCCCAUCCUGUGGAUCAACGUGGUGUUCACGGCCAUCACCUCCAUCGCCACCAUCGGCUGGGUGGGGGGCUACGCGGUGCCCAUCUUCGCCCGGAUGGUGAUGCGGGAGGAGGACUUCCGCCCCGGCCCCUUCUACCUCCGGGGAGCCAGCCGGCCCGUCUGCCUCGUGGCGUUCCUGUGGAUCUGCUACACCUGCUCCGUCUUCCUGCUUCCCACCGUGUACCCCAUCAAGAUGGACACCUUCAACUACGCGCCCAUCGCGCUCGGCGUCGUCCUGGGUUUGAUCAUGCUCUGGUGGGUCGUCGACGCCAGGAAGUGGUUCACGGGACCCGUCAGGAACAUCGACGAGCAGAUCGACCACAACGACGGCAAUGGCAAUGUCAAGGUCUGA
rnacentral:rRNA from 1 species